rnacentral:rRNA from 1 species
UACGAAGGGGGCUAGCGUUGCUCGGAAUCACUGGGCGUAAAGCGCACGUAGGCGGGUUGUUAAGUCGGGGGUGAAAUCCUGGAGCUCAACUCCAGAACUGCCUUCGAUACUGGCGACCUUGAGUCCGGGAGAGGUGAGUGGAACUCCGAGCGUAGAGGUGAAAUUCGUAGAUAUUCGGAAGAACACCAGUGGCGAAGGCGGCUCACUGGCCCGGUACUGACGCUGAGGUGCGAAAGCGUGGGGAGCAAACAGG